CCACCCAAAGUGCUGGGAUUACAGGCAUGACCCACCGUAACCGGCCAAUAUCUAUUAUUUAAGCCAUUCAGUCUAUGGUCUCUGCUAUGGUAGCCCAAGCUGACUAAGACAGGCUGCCUUCAAGAUUUUCUCUUCAUCAGCUGGGUGCAGUGAUUCAUGCCUUGUAAUCCCAGUGCUUUGGGAGGCCGGCCUCAGCCGCCGCGCGUCGUGGCCCAAUCAGUUCCCUGCUACUCACCCAGCUUCCGAAAGCCGACAGAAAAGGGCCCGGAGCCGUGGAGCUGCCGCCUCCCCGCCCCGUGAGCUGCCGGAGCCGGCGGCCCGCCGAGCCGCCCUGGCGGCGGGGUUGCACCUUCGCCCUUUCCCUGCCGCGGGGGGCAGAGGCGGUGGCGGCGGCCCGGCCGCUGCCCAGAGGAACCCUUUCGCCCGCCUGGACAACCGACCGCGGGUCGCCGCGGAGCUCCCCGACGGGCCGGCCCGCGAGCAGCCGGAGGCGCCGGGCCCGUUUUUAGAUUCUAAUCAAGAAAAUGAUUUGCUAUGGCAAGAGAAGUUCCCUGAAAGAACAACUGUUACUGAAUUACCCCAGACUUCACAUGUAUCGUUCUCCGAGUCUGAUAUUCCAUCCUCAGAAAAUACUGAGUUACCUGUGGACUGGAGUAUUAAAACCCGACUCCUUUUCAUCUCUUCUCAACCCUUUACCUGGGCAGAUCAUUUGAAAGCACACGAAGAGGCUCAAGGUCUUGUCCAGCAUUGUAGGGCAACAGAAGUUACUUUGCCUAAAAGUAUACAGGAUCCCAAACUCUCCACUGAGCUCCGUUGUGCCUUCUAGCAGAGCCUUAUCUAUUGGCUCCAGCCUGCUUUGUCUUGGCUACCACUGGACCCUCGUAUUGGAGCUGAUAGAAAAAUGGCUGGAAAGACAAGUCCUUGGUCAAAUGAUGCAACCCUGCAGCAUGUUUUAAUGAGUGACUGGUCCGUGAGCUUUACUUCUCUAUAUAAUUUGCUGAAGACAAAACUUUGCCCCUAUUUCUACGUUUGUACCUAUCAGUUUACUGUCCUGUUCAGAGGAGCAGGAUUAGCUGGAAGUGACUUCAUCACAGGUCUCAUAUCUCCUACAACUCGAGGUUUAAGAGAUGCUAUGAGAAAUGAAGGUAUUGAAUUUUCUCUGCCUUUAAUAAAAGAAAGUGGCCAUAAGAAGGAGACAGCAUCUGGAACAAGCUUGGGAUAUGAGGAGCACGAAGUGUGUAUGUGAAGACACAAGCUCUUUCUGGAUACAGAGACCAGUUUAGUUUGGAGAUUACAGGUCCUAUCAUGCCUCAUUCUCUGCAUUCACUGACCAUGCUGCUCAGAUCUUCACAGAGUGGGUCUUUCUCUGCAGUACUACAUCCACACGAGCCAACUGCUGUAUUUAACAUCUGCCUGCCAGUGGACAAAGUACUUGAUAUGGAGGUUGUUCAUAAGGAGCUUACUAACUGUGGUUUGCACCCUAACACUUUGGAGCAACUUAGUCAAAUACCAUUACUUGGGAAAUCAGCUUUACGGAAUGUGGUGCUGAGAGACUACAUUUAUAAUUGGAGAUCCUGAACACCAAAGUAAGCCUAAAAGGAAUCUUUGAGGAAAAAAGCCUUCUAGCAAGGAAAUUCAAGAUUCCUGAAGUUGAAGGAAUAUACUGACAUGUUUAUAAACAUAACUUUUAUUACAGUAGCAUCUAAGGUUUUAAAUCAGUGUUUUCUGCUUUUACUAUUUUCAGAUUAGAUUUUUAGAUAUAAAGAUGAAAAACUCAGAUAACUCAAAUGAGCUAUCUGUAUCCCUACAACCUAAUUGUAUAUUGAGUAGAAAUUGAAUUAAUAUGUUUCCUUGCAAAUGGGAAAUCACAUAGCAGUUACCUCAUGGCAUUGUGACUAAUGGCAUCAAGGCAAAAAUAUGUUACUUUACCAUUUACCUAAGACUGUUAGCAGGUUCUUGUUCCAUAAAGGUAGAAAAUAAAUAUAGAUAGCAUCUACUGAGCUA